GACAGAGGCCCCAAGCGUUAGGCGGAAUCACUGGGCUUAAAGCGUGUGUAGGCGGACGCCUAAGUGUCUUGUGAAAUCCCACGGCUCACCCGUGGAACUGCUGGGCAUACUGGGCGUCUUGGGCCAACUAGGGGCAGCCGGAACAAGCGGUGGAGCGGUGAAUGCGUAGAUAUCGCUUGGAACGCCGAAGGUGAAAACAGGCUGCUGGGGUUGUGCCGACGCUGAGACACGAAAGCCAGGGGAGGCAAACGGG
rnacentral:rRNA from 1 species